rnacentral:rRNA from 1 species
UACGUAGGGGGCAAGCGUUAUCCGGAAUUACUGGGCGUAAAGGGUGUCUAGGCGGCAAGGCAAGUCUUGCGUGAAAGCCCCCGGCUCAACUGGGGAGGGUCACUCGAUACUGAUCGACUUGAAGGCAGGAGAGGGAAGCGGAAUUCCCGGUGUAGUGGUGAAAUGCGUAGAUAUCGGGAGGAACACCAGUGGCGAAGGCGGCUUCCUGGCCUGUUCUUGACGCUGAGGCGCGAAAGCUAGGGGAGCAAACGGG